CUGGGRAUCUGGCUUAUGGAGGGGGAUAACCAUUGGAAACGGUGGCUAAUACCGCAUGAUGUCGCAAGACCAAAGUGGGGGACCUUARGGCCUCACGCCAUGAGAUGAACCCAGAUGAGAUUAGCUAGUAGGUGCGGUAAUGGCGUACCUAGGCGACGAUCUCUAGCUGGUCUGAGAGGAUGACCAGCCACACUGGAACUGAGAGACGGUCCAGACUCCUACGGGAGGCAGCAGUGGGGAAUAUUGCACAAUGGGCGGAAGCCUGAUGCAGCCAUGCCGCGUGUGUGAAGAAGGCCUUAGGGUUGUAAAGCACUUUCAGCGGGGAGGAAGGCGGUAAGAGUAAUAUGCUUAUCRAUUGACGUUACCCGCAAAAGAAGCACCGGCUAACUCCGUGCCAGCAGCCGCGGUAAUACGGAGGGUGCGAGCGUUAAUCGGAAUAACUGGGCGUAAAGRGCAUGUAGGCGGUAAGUUAAGUCAGAUGUGAAAUCCCCGAGCUUAACUUGGGAACGGCAUUUGAGACUGGCUGGCUAGAGUUUUGUAGAGGGGGGUAGAAUUCCAGGUGUAGCGGUGAAAUGCGUAGAGAUCUGGAGGAAUACCGGUGGCGAAGGCGGCCCCCUGGACAAGGACUGACGCUGAGGUGCGAAAGCGUGGGUAGCAAACAGGAUUAGAUACCCUGGUAGUCCACGCUGUAAACGAUGUCGAUUUGGAGGUUGUGACCUAGUGUUAUGG
rnacentral:rRNA from 1 species